ACUACGGGACGCAGCAGUGGGGAAUAUUGCACAAUGGGCGGAAGCCUGAUGCAGCGACGCCGCGUGAGGGAUGACGGCCUUCGGGUUGUAAACCUCUUUCAGUAGGGAAGAAGCGCAAGUGACGGUACCUGCAGAAGAAGCGCCGGCUAACUACGUGCCAGCAGCCGCGGUAAUACGUAGGGCGCAAGCGUUGUCCGGAAUUAUUGGGCGUAAAGAGCUCGUAGGCGGUCUGUCGCGUCUGCUGUGAAAGCCCGGGGCUCAACCCCGGGUCUGCAGUGGGUACGGGCAGACUAGAGUGCAGUAGGUGAGACUGGAAUUCCUGGUGUAGCGGUGAAAUGCGCAGAUAUCAGGAGGAACACCGAUGGCGAAGGCAGGUCUCUGGGCUGUUACUGACGCUGAGGAGCGAAAGCAUGGGGAGCGAACAGGAUUAGAUACCCUGGUAGUCCAUGCCGUAAACGUUGGGCACUAGGUGUGGUGGACAUUCCACGUUCUCCGCGCCGUAGCUAACGCAUUAAGUGCCCCGCCUGGGGAGUACGGCCGCAAGGCUAAAACUCAAAGGAAUUGACGGGGGCCCGCACAAGCGGCGGAGCAUGCGGAUUAAUUCGAUGCAACGCGAAGAACCUUAC
rnacentral:rRNA from 1 species